rnacentral:rRNA from 1 species
CUAAGCGGGAAGCGAGCCCUGAGAUGAGUCAUCCCUGACCCCUUGAGGGUCCUAAAGGGCCGUUGGAGACCACAACGUUGAUAGGUGGGGUGUGUAAGCGCGGCGACGUGUUGAGCUAACCCAUACUAAUUACCCGUGAGGCUUAACCAUACAACACCCAAGAAGUGUUC